rnacentral:rRNA from 1 species
AGGUCUAACCGGCCUCAACUCUUCGCCCUCGUAUACCUUACCUCUGUUGCUUUGGCGGGCCAUCGGGAGUCGAUUUCCUGUCGUCGGGUGCCGUAGGCUUCUCGCCCGCAUCUGACGAGCGCCCGUCAGAGGAUUCGCAAACACUGUUAGCAGCGUUGUCCGAGCACUUGAAACAAUUGGCAAAACUUUCAACAACGGAUCUCUUGGUUCUGGCAUCGAUGAAGAACGCAGCGAAAUGCGAUAAGUAAUGUGAAUUGCAGAAUUCAGUGAAUCAUCGAAUCUUUGAACGCAUAUUGCGCCCUUCGGUAUUCCGGAGGGCAUGCCUGUUCGAGCGUCAUUGCACACUCAAGCACUGCUUGGUCAUGGACGAAGCCCUUUCGAGGCUUGUCUGAAAUUUAGCGGCUGUCCAGCGAGACCUCAAGCGAAUAAGAUCUAUCCCGCUUGCGAGUGUUUCGGUUGCGAUGCGCCUGAAGCUGUAUUUUUUCCACGAUUGACCUCGGAUCAGGUAGGGAUACCCGCUGAACUUAAGCAUAUCAAUAAGCGGAGGAAAAGAAACCAACAGGGAUUGCCUCAGUAACGGCGAGUGAAGCGGCAACAGCUCAAAUUUGAAAUCUGGCCCUUCCGGGGUUCGAGUUGUAAUUUGCAGAGGGUGUUUCGGGCGAGGCGCCGUCCUAAGUCCCUUGGAACAGGGUGUCCUAGAGGGUGAGAAUCCCGUCUGCGGCCGGUGACCGACCCCAUGUGAAACCCCUUCGACGAGUCGAGUUGUUUGGGAAUGCAGCUCUAAAUGGGUGGUAAAUUUCAUCUAAAGCUAAAUACUGGCCAGAGACCGAUAGCGCACAAGUAGAGUGAUCGAAAGAUGAAAAGCACUUUGGAAAGAGAGUUAAAAAGUACGUGAAAUUGUUGAAAGGGAAGCGCUUGCAACCAGACCUGUCGUCGGGUGAUCAGCCGCCGUUCUCGGCGGUGCACGCGC